rnacentral:rRNA from 1 species
UGGAAACAGUUGCUAAGACAGGAUAGGAAAUUAAGAGGCAUCUUUUAAUUUUUAAAAGACCUUUUUCGAAAGGUAUACUUAAAGAGGGGCUUGCGCCACAUUAGUUAGUUGGUAAGGUAAAAGCUUACCAAGACGAUGAUGUGUAGCUGGACUGAGAGGUCGAACAGCCACAUUGGGACUGAGACACGGCCCAAACUCCUACGGGAGGCAGCAGUAAGGAAUUUUUGGCAAUGGAGGAAACUCUGACCGAGCGACGCCGCGUGAACAAUGAAGUACUUCGGUAUGUAAAGUUCUUUUAUUGAAAAAGAAAAAAUAGUGGAAAAACUAUCUUGACAUUAUUCAAUGAAUAAGCCCCGGCUAAUUAUGUGCCAGCAGCCGCGGUAAUACAUAAGGGGCGAGCGUUAUCCGGAAUUAUUGGGCGUAAAGGGUGCGUAGGCGGUUUGAUAAGUCUAUAGUUUAAAUGCAGUGCUUAACGCUGUAGCGCUAUAGAAACUGUCUGACUAGAGUUAGAUAGAGGCAAGCGGAAUUCCAUGUGUAGCGGUAAAAUGCGUAAAUAUAUGGAGGAACACCAGAGGCGUAGGCGGCUUGCUGGGUCUUAACUGACGCUGAGGCACGAAAGCGUGGGGAGCAAACAGGAUUAGAUACCCUGGUAGUCCACGCCGUAAACGAUGAGUACUAAGUGUCGGGUUUCGACUCGGUACUGAAGUUAACACAUUAAGUACUCCGCCUGAGUAGUACGUACGCAAGUAUGAAACUUAAAGGAAUUGACGGGACCCCGCACAAGCGGUGGAUCAUGUUGUUUAAUUCGAAGAUACACGAAAAACCUUACCAGGUCUUGACAUAAUUNUGCGACAUUAUAGAAAUAUAAUGAAGGUUAUCAGAAUUACAGGUGGUGCAUGGUUGUCGUCAGCUCGUGUCGUGAGAUGUUAGGUUAAGUCCUAAAACGAGCGCAACCCUUGUCGUUAGUUGCGACCACGUAAUGGUGAGCACUUUAGCGAGACUGCCAAUGAAAAAUUGGAGGAAGGUGAGGAUUACGUCAAAUCAUCAUGCCCCUUAUGAUCUGGGCUACAAACGUGAUACAAUGGCUGUUACAAAGAGUAGCUGUAACGUGAGUUUAUGGCCAAUCUCAAAAAAACAGUCUCAGUUCGGAUUGAAGUCUGCAACUCGACUUCAUGAAGUUGGAAUCGCUAGUAAUCGCGAAUCAGCAUGUCGCGGUGAAUACGUUCUCGGGGUUUGUACACACCGCCCGUCAAA